AACGAACGCUGGCGACAUGCCUAACACAUACAAGUCGAACGAGAUCUUCGGGUCUAGUGGCGCACGGGUGCGUAACGCGUGGGAAUCUGCCCUUUGGUUCGGAAUAACAGUUGGAAACGACUGCUAAUACCGGAUGAUGACGAAAGUCCAAAGAUUUAUCGCCAGAGGAUGAGCCCGCGUAGGAUUAGCUAGUUGGUGUGGUAAAGGCGCACCAAGGCGACCAUCCUUAGCUGGUCUGAGAGGAUGAUCAGCCACACUGGGACUGAGACACGGCCCAGACUCCUACGGGAGGCAGCAGUGGGGAAUAUUGGACAAUGGGCGAAAGCCUGAUCCAGCAAUGCCGCGUGAGUGAUGAAGGCCUUAGGGUUGUAAAGCUCUUUUACCCGGGAUGAUAAUGACAGUACCGGGAGAAUAAGCUCCGGCUAACUCCGUGCCAGCCGCCGCGGUAA
rnacentral:rRNA from 1 species